CAGCCGCCGCGGUAAUACGUAGGGUGCGAGCGUUGUCCGGAAUUACUGGGCGUAAAGGGCUCGUAGGUGGUUUGUCGCGUCGUCUGUGAAAUUCUGGGGCUUAACUCCGGGCGUGCAGGCGAUACGGGCAUAACUUGAGUGCUGUAGGGGUAACUGGAAUUCCUGGUGUAGCGGUGAAAUGCGCAGAUAUCAGGAGGAACACCGAUGGCGAAGGCAGGUUACUGGGCAGUUACUGACGCUGAGGAGCGAAAGCAUGGGUAGCGAACAGGAUUAGAUACCCAGUAGUCCCUGUCUCUUAUAC
rnacentral:rRNA from 1 species